rnacentral:rRNA from 1 species
UACGGGGGGAGCAAGCGUUGUUCGGAUUUACUGGGCGUAAAGGGCGCGUAGGCGGUAGCACAAGUCAGUUGUGAAAUCUCCGGGCUUAACUCGGAAAGGUCAACUGAUACUGUGCGACUAGAGUGCAGAAGGGGCAACUGGAAUUCUCGGUGUAGCGGUGAAAUGCGUAGAUAUCGAGAGGAACACCUGCGGCGAAGGCGGGUUGCUGGGCUGACACUGACGCUGAAGUGCGAAAGCUAGGGGAGCGAACGGG